rnacentral:lncRNA from 1 species
GUGGCCCGGAGGCGCGCGGAGCGGCGGGCGCUGCGGUGUGAGCUGAGUGUGAAGGUGUUCGGGCACGAGCUGAGCUAUGUGAACUGCGGGGUGAUGGGGAGCCACGUGAAACGCCAGUCCUUGCACCUGGCCGAGCUGGCAGCCAAACUCCUGAAGGUACCUCCGGCUGGGCUCAGCCCCAGCCCGCUCUGCCGGCCCUGUGGGGUUUCCUUCAAUGUUUUGGGGGGAAAGUACUAAGGUACUUUCCAGACUUAUGACCGUGGUAUUUCGGGCCAGGCUGCCCAAGUUCAAAUCAUGGCCCCGCCUCUCACCUGCGGGGGAGCCAAUGCUUGUCAUGGCCUCGGUUUGUGCAUCUGUGAAAUGGGCACCAUAGCAUGACAAUAGUGAUAGUAACAAAAGCAGCAGCUACUUUAUGGGGCGGUUGUUCUAAAUGACCUAAUGCAGUAAAAAAAAAAAAAAAAAAAAAAGAAAAAGAAAAAAAAAAGAAAAAAGAAAAGAAAAAUGCAACCAAAUGUUUAGAAUGCACCUGGCAUGUGCUAAGUGCUCUGCAUCGUGCUCAGGGCUCACAUUCCUCCUUACCUGACUCACCCUGGAUCCCGGACCACUGACCCUUUUCCAUAGUAAACUAACUGGACUUGAACUCAGCUCCACCUGUUUCUACCUAUGUAGGUUUGGCCAGGUGAUCUCAUCUGUUUGUGUGCUCAGUUUUCUCAGCUGGAAACAAGGGAUGAUGUUCAUGUCCCUUCCUCUCCCCGCCCCACCCUGUGUGAGGAUCCAUGCCCGGGGCUGUCACCUGCAUCAUUACGGUUCUGUGGCUGCAGGGACAGGAGGUACAGGUGAACCGGAGGCUGAACCUGGCCACGCAGGAGCUCACCUUCCCCACCGUGUCUGGCCUUCCAGCCCGGCUGACCCUAAAUGCCUCGGCUGCCAUCGGCGUCCGAGUCCGGGGGACUGCCGACUUCCAGCAGCACCUGGAUUUCUCCGUGAAUGGUUAUGUCAAGCCCAGUGCCCUGCUCCAGAUCUCAGCGCAGAUGGGCACAGUGGGCGCCCUGGGGCAGGCCGGGCUGCGGUGGGUGACCAGCGUCCGUGGCACUGCCAGCCUGGAUGGUGGGAUUGAGGCGAGGAAGGGCCGGGACCUCCACGUGCACCUGAACACCCCCGAGGAGGCUGUGGAGCUGCUCAGCUUCAGCUCCAAGCUGUAUCUCGUCACUGGGGAUGGCGUGAGGAGCCUCAGUGAUGUUCACAGCCCUUCUGGGGCCCAGUCCUGUACUGACGAGAAAGGUAGGUGGGGCGAGGGGGGGUCCUUGCCAUGCUCUCCCAAGCUGGGCAUGUGGGGGCCAUGCCAGCUCCAGAUGCUAGAGUAGCUCUUCUGCCUAAAUUUAUACUCCUCCUUUGAUUCUGCUUCUAGAACUCUAUCCUAUGAAAAUAAACCAAAAUCACUUUAAAAUGCAUUGUGGGGCAGCCCUGGUGGCGCAGCGGUUUGGCGCUGCCUGCAGCCUGGGGUGUGAUCCUGGAGACCUGGGAUCAAGUCCCACGUCGGGCUCCCUGCAUGGAGCCUGCUUCUCCCUCCACCUGUGUCUCUGCCUCUCUCUCUGUCUAUGAAUAAAUAAAUAAAAUCUUAAAAAAAUAAAAAAUAAAAAAAAUGUGCUGUGUGCAGAGAUUAUCUGCAAGGGCAAAAAACCCCACGAAGCGGCUCAGUUAUCCGGUGUCGGUGAACGGCUCGUUACAAGGGCUUGCAAGCUGUGCCUAGGUUGUGACCUUUUCCAAUGGUUGAAAAGUAAUCAAAGAAUAUUUCACAUGUGAAAAAUUGGUGAAAUUCAUGUUGCAUCGGCCAGCAAUAAAGUUUUAUUGGUACAUGGCCACGCCCAUUUGCUUACCAGUCGUCUUUGGCUGCUUUGGUCAAUCCACGCGCGGCAGAGCUGAGUAGUUGUGACAGACCCUGUGAUCGGCAACGCACCAGGUAUUUCCUAUUUGGCCAUUUCUAGGAAAAAAAAAAAAGAAUUCUCCAACUUCUGGUUUCGUGAACCACCUGAGAUAUCCUGUAACUUUAAAACCCUGUAAUGAAGGAGAUAUUUUAAUAAUACUAGAAAAUUCUUUGAUAAUAACAUCAGUGAAGGGGCAACAAAAAUUGGAAAAAAAGGGGAUCCCUGUGUGGCUCAGCGGUUUGGCACCUGCCUUUGGCCCAGGGCGCGAUCCUGGAGUCCCAGGAUCGAGUCCCACGUCAGGCUCCCGGCAUGGAGCCUGCUUCUCCCUCCUCCUGUGUCACUGCCCCUUCUCUCUCUCUCUCUCUUUCUAUGUCUAUCAUGAAUAAAUAAAUAAAUCUUUUUUAAAAAUGAAAAAAGAUGGGAAGGAAAUGCACUGAACAGUAGUGGAUCUUGCAGGUGUCACUUUUUUUGAGUAAGGUGGGGGAGGGGCCCAUCUAAAUGAAUUGGCUCCUUUUUUUUUUAAGAUUUUAUUUAUUCAUGAGAGAUACAGAGAAAAGCAGAGACACAGGCAGAGGGAGAAGCAGGCUCUCUGCGGGGAACCCGAUGCGGGACUCGAUCCCAGGACCCCGGGAUCAUGCAGACACUCAACUGCUGAGCCUCCCAGGCGCCCCAUGAGUUGACUCCUUUAGGCGGGGCGCUGUCCUAAACAGACCUGCCGGUCCUCCCAGCUGUACCGUGAGGCAGGAACUGUUACCGGUCCCGGUUUAUAGGUGAGAACACUGAGGCACAGAGCUGUUGAGUAAUCUGCCCAAGGCCACACAGCUGGAAAGUGGCAGAGCUGGAAUUAGGAAUCAGGCGGUCUUGCCCUGGAGCCCGCCUUCUGUGCACUGCUGCCUCUCACUCUUACGGUCUAUACCAGGGGUCCUCCAGCGGAGGCGGUUUUGCCCCCCACCCCCGGGGCCCUUCGGCAAUGUCUGGAGCCAUCUGGGUUGUCACCACUGUUGCUGGGGUUGCCACUGACGUGCAGCAAGUGUGGCCCCGCUCUGCUGGCCAGCAUCCUCCGAGAUGGCUCCCAGCACACAGACCUACCCAGCCCGGUAGGGCAGGGGCGUCUGGGGUUGCGGGACCCUGGUCUACACG